UACAUACCCAGUAAUAAAUGCAAAUUGUUGCUGCUGAAUCAAACCAUGUAAUGCUUGUCCAGUUAAAUAAACAUCAAACUUAGGCGUCUUACCUAGACUGAUGGAGAAAGGAUUUAAAGAUUUAGAUUCUGGUUAUUAGCAAGUGAGAGAGGAAAGCUGCAUUAACUGCAUUACAGGCAGAGUAAGAGGCAGCAUCAGAACGGGUGAGGAGCAGGAGCCAGUGUGACGGCUACUCCAAAGCACCGGACCCUUUCCUUAAAUCUCACAUCAAGGCGACACAACUGAAUUAAGAAAGCCCUCGAAAGUCGAGCUGUUCCACAUGAAGAACUAUUAAAGAAGUUGAAGUGACUUAAAAUGCACCGAGGGGAGAUACUACAGAACAGCAAAUAUGGAACCGGGCCAACACCAGGCUUGCACAGACAUAAGAAAAGAGAUGGCAUCUAGGACAAAGUUAAAACAAUUAAAAAUAAAACUUAA